UACAGAGGUCCCAAGCGUUGUUCGGAUUUACUGGGCGUAAAGGGCGCGUAGGCGGCCACCGCAAGUCGGUUGUGAAAUCUCUGGGCUUAACCCAGAAAGGUCAACCGAUACUGCGGGGCUAGAGUGCAGAAGGGGCAACUGGAAUUCUCGGUGUAGCGGUGAAAUGCGUAGAUAUCGAGAGGAACACCUGCGGCGAAGGCGGGUUGCUGGGCUGACACUGACGCUGAAGCGCGAAAGCUAGGGGAGCGAACGGG
rnacentral:rRNA from 1 species